GCUUAAACACUGGUUCUCGUUCGGUCACCGAAGUUAAGCAACUUUAAACCUGGUCAGCACUUUGAUGGGUGACUGCUGGGGAAUACCAAAUGCAGU